rnacentral:misc_RNA from 1 species
AAGAAGAUGAAGCGACGGAGACAA